GUCCCAGGAGCCCUGCAAAGCUGGCAUUAUUCUUCUCAUUCCAUAAAGAAGGAAACUGAGGCUAGGCAGAUUACGGAACUUGCCUCAAGUCCCACUGCUUGGAAGUGGCAAAGCCAGGAUUCCAGUCUAGCUCCAAGAAAAGCCGCUGACAAGAUUAAGACAACACUAGAGAGGCAACUGAGAUAUAGAAGAGACAUCACAGGAAGCAGGAAACCACUCUGUCUUGAGCCGCCUACUAUGUGCUUUAUGACCUAUUUGGUUCACAAAAACCCUGCGAGCUGGGCAGUUGAAGUGAUUUGCCCAGAGUGACACAUCUAGUCAGAGACAAAAGUGAGAUUCAACCCCAGGUCUGCCUACAUGGGGAAGACAGUUUGGCCUCAAGGCUGGUGUUUUGAGCAUGUGGGAGCCAACUCUGAUUCAAAGAAGGAGGUGACAUUGACCGCACACGCUUCACGUCGAGAUCAGCUG